AAUUUGGAAGACUCAAAGAAGCUUAAUGUCCAAUAUAUCUGUUGUAAAAAUUACAAUUGAACAGAGAUGACGAUAUGACUAAAAUGGAAAUUGCAACAACUAAAAAUUUGUAACACCUAAUAUAGUGCGAGUGCUAAAUACAUAUAAUAUUAAUGGUUCAAACGUGAGAAUGCGCAUGGCUGAAUCCUGGUCAAAGAAUUUUUUUUCGCUUAUUCGCUUUCGUUUUUUUUAAUUUAAAGUGAAACUUUAGCAUAGUUGAUUGGAAAGAAGAAUAUUAACACGUUUGUGACUUUGUAAGCUACCUGCGCUUUACCAAAUUUCGCUUCGACUUCAGCAUCUGAGCCACUCCUGAUGAUAGACCAAGAGCACUUUUUUGAAGGCACAGGGAUGAGCGUUCCCAAAUUUCACACACUUUUGGUCUUUAUUAAGGAAAGGCUCCAGCGUUUUUCACGAAGAGCGGCAAUAAAAGAAGAAAAUCCCUUGGCACUGACAUUGAUGUGAGUGAUUCUCUUCAGGAGUACAAAGCAUUGAGUAAACUAAAUUUCCUAGACCCAUAAAUUAGGUAUAUGAACGGUACGAAAAAUAAUUUACGACACUUGUGACCCCUUUUAGACCGAACAUGACAUAUACGUUGCUCAACCUAACCUACAUGAAUGGAAAAAAUAGCAGACAGAUUUUACGUAAAAACUGAAAUGCAGGAUUAAGUAGAGACGGUUGAUGGCAAUCAUAUAAAAAUUGUUUGUCCGCCACGCAGCGGAUCUCUAUACUAUUGUAUAACUACAAAAAAAUAUUUAAUUAAUAUUCCGCCAGACAACCAAAUUCUUGGGGUAGUCUUUUUCCAUUAAAGCACAACCUAAUGCGUCCAUAACAUAUCCUGGUCGGAUCUUAGCAACUGUAAAAGAUAACUACAACAAAAAAUUCUAAAUGCAUAUUGAAAAUGCAUUUAGAAUUUUAGCGAGCAGAUGGCGAGUUCUACACACAAUUGUGCUUCACAAUUACUUAAUGCUUGACAACAGAAAAUUAUCACGAGACUGCAGCAAUUAACAUGUAAAACAAACAACAAACACAUUAUUAUACCAAGUUUGUACGUAGGUAAGAUUUAUUUGUACUGUAAAUUUGUAUUAUAAGAAGAAACAACUGAAUAUAAAAAUAAAGUACGUUUGUAUCUUAAUUUAUCAAUAAGGCAAUUUAAUACAUGAGUAUAUUAAACUAGCAUACUUACAAUAUAUCAAUAAAUGAAUAAAAA